CAUGAUCCUGCCUGAUGGUGGGCUGAGGCUUCAAACCUUAGGGGGCUUAGCGGCCCAGUUGUUCGAUUCAACCUCGCU
rnacentral:tRNA from 16 species